rnacentral:RNase_P_RNA from 1 species
GCGGAUGGCUGGAUGGCUGCACGUUUACGUGAGGAAAGUCCGGACACCACAAGGCAACGGCGGCGGGUAACGCCCGCCUGGGGUAACCCAAGGGAAAGCGCCACAGAGAAAAGACAGCCCGCGUUUACGCAGGUCAAGGUGAAACGGUGGAGUAAGAGCCCACCGCGGUGGUGGUAACAUCACUGGCAAGGCAAGCCCCGCCGGGUGCAAAACCAAAUAGGGAUCGCGUGGCCGCGUGCGGUCGGGGUUGCUUUGGCCCCAGCAGAUCCGGGUUGGUUGCAAGAGCCUGUUGGCAACAGCAGGCCCAGAUGAAUGGUCAUCAACGGGCGCAAGCCCUGAACAAAAUCCGGCUUAUAGGCCAUCCGCAAAA